GGCCUCCUAUCGCCCCUUUGAGCCGUCCCCAAACCUGGUUUGCUUUUGCUUGGGAAGCUUUGGGCGCCCGCGGGCGCCCCUGACUCCCGCUGAACCCGGCGGGGCGCAUGCGCGGACCUUCCGCGAUCCAUUUCCUCCCUUGAGUGGAUCGUCCCUGCAAACAGAUCCGAAACCGGGUUAAAGUAGGACAGGGGUCUUCAAACUUGGCUCUUUGAUGACUUCUGGACUUCAAUUCCCAGAAUGCCUCAGGUGCCUGGCUGAGGAAUUCUGGGAGUUGAAGUCCAAAAGUCAUCAAACGGCCCAAGUUUGAAGACCCCUGAAGUAGGACCCAGCAUCGCUGGGAGGGACCUCCAGUAGACCACCCGAGUGGGACCCUGGCAUCGAAUUGGGCUGGAUCGGAUCAAAACCGAGUACAGGUUUCGCUAUGGGGUCACGAGGGGGAGAGCCCUGGGCUGCCACCAUUGAGGCUUUCCGCCUGUCCCCCACGGCCUUCCUCUUAUCCCACGGGACCGGAGACACCUUUGGGGCUGACCUGUUGAAUGAACUACGGAGCGAAAGGCUGGGGGAAGCAGUCAAGCUCUCCAUCCUGUCUCUCUUCUUGGAAUAUCCUACCCUGCUGUGCUCCGAUGCCAAGGCGGGUCGGGAAGCGGCCGCCUCUCUCCUCUCCCUCUUUGCCCAGCUGAAUCUCUCUCCCAAAAACGUCAGCCUCCGGUGUUCCCUGCUCUUUGCCGCGGAAACGGUCCUGGUGGCGACCGACAGCCUGGGCGAAGACUGCCCGACCUCGCACGAGCUGCUGUCUGUACUGCUCCAUCUGGUGUCCGACCCGAAUGACAGCCGUGGGGGAGUCGCCGAACGGCCUAUCCGUGCCGCAGCUUGCGAGUGCCUGCGAGAACUCGAAAGCUGCUACUCGGGGUUCCUGUUGCACCGGCUGGAGAUCCUGCGGUCUCUGCACCAGCAAGAGGUCUCCAGCGUCCACCAGGGCUACACCCUGCUGUACAGCGUGGCGCUGCGGAACGCCGUCUUCCUCCUGGCCCGGAGUGGAGAAGGGUGCCUGGGAGACCUCCUGGCCAGCAACGGAGACUUGAUGUGGGAGGCUACGAAGGAACUUGGCAAGCUCUCGCCAGCGGGUCUCGACCAGCUGGUCCUCUUACCGUCCGCCGCAGACCUCAAGGAGUUGAAGUUGGUGCUCUCGGCUCUUCUGGAGAGCAGUUAUCUCUUCACCUCCGCGGCACAGAGCCACCUUCUGUGCCAUCUGGCUCAGGCGGUGAGCGUGGUGCGCACCCAGUCGCCGGUGAUCUUCAAAGCCCAGCUGGCGCGUCUCUUCGGCACGUCCAGCGUGACUCUGGAACACGCCAUCCUGCAGCUGAAAUCGCUCUUCACCGACAGCCUCUUCACGGCCGAGGACGAGUCCUUCCUCCUGCGGCACCUGGUGGGGCUGGCGCAGCACCCGGCCCUCCCAGAUGCCGUGAAGCUUUUCCACUUGGAUUGCCUUUUGCACUUCCCCGAAAACCGGCCGCUGGUCUCGGGAACCGACGAACGGCUGCCAGUUCUGCUCACGCCGCGCGCUACCUCGGGUCUUUUUCCAGGGUUCUUCCAAGAUCAGGGGACCGUCCUGGCCCGGAUGAAUUUACUGUGCCUCGUGUGCGUGGAGAACGAGGGGCCCAGUGCCGAACGUGGGGCGGGUUACCUCCUGGAGCACGUCCUGGCCCUCGGAGGCCUCGUGGCCCGCGACGGAGGAUUGGAUGCCACCCGGCUUUUUUUCCAAGCAGCCUUCAUUUUUGCCCAAUAUUUUGGCUCUCAGGCCCAGCCCAUGGCAGAACUCACCCGGUGCCUGCUGGAUCUCUACCGUCGCAACUGCACCUUAGCCCCGAACAUCAUCAAUCUGUUGGAUGAGACAUGGAGAACGGAUGAGUCCCACUGGGCCAGGAGUCUCGCCCAAGCCCUGCAAGAAUUUGUUGUGAGCAUCCCCUUGCAAGAGCAAGACCUGAGUUGGCAUCUCAAGAUUUUAGCCCGGCUGGCGAAGGAGAACGAAGUUCCCCAAGCCAGCACCAUGCAGUUCUUAGCUCGUCUGGUCGCCUCGGGGAAACUUGGAGACUGGUGUUCUGGCCAGAUCCUUCUCAGCGUUUGCCGUAACCUGAUGGUGCGUCAUCCCUCGCCUGCCUUGUCCCAGCUGGCAGCCCUCCUGCAUGCCAUCUCCCUGGGCCACACAGAUGUGGAUGUCCAAGACCGGGCUGGCUUUUAUUACACACUACUCACCAACCUGUCCAGUGAAAAAUUAAGAUCCGUGCUGGUCCCCGUAGUUCCCGUCAAGACUCGGUCACUCUCCUCGUCCAUCGUUGCCGACAGCGAAAGCUUCGUGGCUGCAUUGACGGUGCACCCGGUGGAUCCGGCCCCUUUGAGGCUGCAGCGUGUCGAGAUCACAGGGGACACCCCUGUGGUUCCUCCCGCCGAGCAGGAGGUGGACGGGCACUGCCAGUGGCUGCUGGCGGCCCGCUCUCCCUCGUGGCUCAGAUUGGCGUACCGGCUGAUCCACGCGGGGCCUGGCACAUCUCCCUACGACCUGCUCCUCUGCGUGGUGCUUCGGUUCUCCUGCACCAGCCGGCAUUACGAGCCAGUGCCCGAACUCUGCAUUCCGUGCCUUGCCGCGCAUCGGCCAUCCCCGACGGUGAGGCUGACGCUGCAGCCGCGCUGCCCGUACCCAACCCAGCUGAACGUUUCUGCCCUGUAUACAACGCAAGACGGAUUGACGCGUUGGAGUCAGCUAGAACACCUGGAGGUGUCCUUUCCCGAUCUUUUCCUCCCCCUGCCAGUCCCCGCCUGGUCUUCAGAGAAACUUUGCCAGCUUUUUGAUGCGCUCUGGCAGUGCCUGCACCCCAACGCCAAAGAGGCGCACGCCGAGAGUCUCACGGUGUGGCCCCUGCCGCCCCGAUCCUUAGAAGGCUUAGUGCGUGACCAGUUUGGCAGGUAUAUCCUGGCUGAGCAAGCCGACGAGUAUAGGAUCGCCCUGACUUUACCGCCUCGGGAUCACAUCCUCCUACAGGUGCGGAGUGUGGACGAUUCGGCACGGGUGACCAUUCGCACCGACAACUGGAAACUCCUGCCUUCGCUUAACCACUAUUUGCAGAGUCUGGUGAAGGCCGGCUGACACUGAAACACUCCAGAGGGUCCCCAAGAUUUGGACCAUCAGUUUCACCCCCACUUCAGAAGUAUUUGUUAACCUGCAGAAUGUGAAAGAGUACCAGAAGUGAAAAUUAUAGGUGCAACUUGGAGCUGUGUCCACACAACGCAGUGAACAGAUGAAGGAGAGGCCUCCGUGUCCUUCCGUGGCCGAAGCCUAAAGGGCAAGGAAAGCCGUCUUCCCAAAGGAUAUGUCGGAUUAGUGCUGGAAGAAGCCAACUUAGACCUAACGUUGAAGGAACGCGAAGUAAGUGUGAAAUCAACUUUUGAUUCCCUGACCGUGUGGAACCUGGAACAGGCACCAACUAACAGUGAUGAGAUCCUCAUGGCUCUUGCUUGGCCUAAGAUUGCUCAAGGGCUCCAUGCCCCCGUGACGGAGGAGGAGUGAGGAAGAUCACAGCAUUGUCCGAAGUGGUCCUCGAGAAAAUACGUUGUGCUCCGACUUAAAAUGAGGACUUGGGUGGAAAAGAACACGGAAUAAACUUCGGCCUCUCUUUGCUGCGUU